AGAGUUUGAUCAUGGCUCAGGAUGAACGCUGGCGGCGUGCCUAACACAUGCAAGUCGAGCGAUUUACUUCGGUAAAGAGCGGCGGACGGGUGAGUAACGCGUGGGUAACCUGCCCUGUACACACGGAUAACAUACCGAAAGGUAUGCUAAUACGAGAUAGUAUGCUUUUAUCGCAUGUAGAAGUAUCAAAGCUUUUGCGGUACAGGAUGGACCCGCGUCUGAUUAGCUAGUUGGUAAGGUAACGGCUUACCAAGGCGACGAUCAGUAGCCGACCUGAGAGGGUGAUCGGCCACAUUGGAACUGAGACACGGUCCAAACUCCUACGGGAGGCAGCAGUGGGGAAUAUUGCACAAUGGGCGAAAGCCUGAUGCAGCAACGCCGCGUGAGCGAUGAAGGCCUUCGGGUCGUAAAGCUCUGUCCUCAAGGAAGAUAAUGACGGUACUUGAGGAGGAAGCCCCGG
rnacentral:rRNA from 1 species